ACUGCUCGUGCUCCUCCCUCACAAGAGGAUCCAGUAAGGCCUAACGGCAAGACAUGGCCAGGCCCCAGCUCCUCCCCAUCCCACCUUUGAAGGGUGUUUUGGCUGGGUCAGGGGAGCUCUCUGAUAGCUCCAGGCAUCCUUGCAAGGCAUUGGGAGGCCAAGCGAGGCGGGGAGGCUGCUCCCAGGGCACUCGGUUAUUCCACUUGUUUCUCAAGCUGGCAUCAGCUUGUCAGGAAGCUCUGCCUCCACACUGCUCCCUCAGGAUGGGCGGAUGGUGGCAUUGAAGGGGCAUCGCCUCUGUGGUGCUGGGAGCAACACGAGAGCAGUGCCCUCGUCCCACCAGCUGGGAAGGAUUGCCCCCCAGAUGCUGCUCCUCUGCCCCCUGCCAAAGUUGGGGUCAGACACAGCACCAAAUGCUUCCUCUCACCCCUCCCCGCUGGGCACAGGGAUCCCUCUGAUCCUACACACACCACGGGGAUCAAAGGAGCAGUUUCGCUGUGUCUUUUUCUUCCCUUCACGGUCUCUGUCCACCCACGUAACAAACUCCCAUGUGAAAAAGGCUUUGAGGCUUCCCAGGAGACAGCACGCUCCUUCUCAAGGUUAGAGGUGACUCAGGUGUACUCUGAUCUAGCAGAAGCUGCACAGAUGUGCCACACAGGCUGAAUGUCCUCUGUCCCCAGAACAACACUGAGACGGAGGUGGAGGUGAGACACAAGCAACAAAAGCUGCAAGAUGAAUUUAUGCAAAAGCAAAGUGCUCAGCAGCAUUUAACACCAACCACAGGAGUCCUGACCCUGAGCAGCCCCAGGAAAAUGGCCUUUUUUCUCUUUAGGCUGGAAUCUCACGCAGGCAUGGUUUUCUACAUCCACAUACCACAGUUUUGGCCGUGUUCAAGUGCUGAUGUACUUGCUCCUAUUGUUCUUCAGAAACGGUCAAGAAUAAACUGCUGAAUACAACCAAGAACCCACACCUCUGGAGGAAAAGCUUUAGCCUGGCAAAUUGGACUAGGCCAGCUGUAUUGAUCCAGGGAUAGAAGCUGUUUGUUCUGUGCUCUGCUGUUAAUGCAAAGCUUCACAAAGGGCUUAAC